rnacentral:rRNA from 1 species
GACGAACGCUGGCGGCGUGCUUAACACAUGCAAGUCGAACGGAAAGGCCCUGCUUUUGUGGGGUGCUCGAGUGGCGAACGGGUGAGUAACACGUGAGUAACCUGCCCUUGACUUUGGGAUAACUUCUGGAAACUGGGGCUAAUACCGGAUAGGAGCUCCUGCUGCAUGGUGGGGGUCGGAAAGUUUCGGCGGUUGGGGAUGGACUCGCGGCUUAUCAGCUUGUUGGUGGGGUAGUGGCUUACCAAGGCUUUGACGGGUAGCCGGCCUGAGAGGGUGACCGGCCACAUUGGGACUGAGAUACGGCCCAGACUCCUACGGGAGGCAGCAGUGGGGAAUAUUGCACAAUGGGCGGAAGCCUGAUGCAGCAACGCCGCGUGCGGGAUGACGGCCUUCGGGUUGUAAACCGCUUUCGCCUGUGACGAAGCGUGAGUGACGGUAAUGGGUAAAGAAGCACCGGCUAACUACGUG